rnacentral:rRNA from 1 species
AACGAACGCUGGCGGCAGGCUUAACACAUGCAAGUCGAGCGCCGUAGCAAUACGGAGCGGCAGACGGGUGAGUAACGCGUGGGAAUCUACCCAUCACUACGGAACAACUCCGGGAAACUGGAGCUAAUACCGUAUACGUCCUUCGGGAGAAAGAUUUGUCGGUGAUGGAUGAGCCCGCGUUGGAUUAGCUAGUUGGUGGGGUAAUGGCCCACCAAGGCGACGAUCCAUAGCUGGUCUGAGAGGAUGAUCAGCCACACUGGGACUGAGACACGGCCCAGACUCCUACGGGAGGCAGCAGUGGGGAAUAUUGGACAAUGGGCGCAAGCCUGAUCCAGCCAUGCCGCGUGAGUGAUGAAGGCCCUAGGGUUGUAAAGCUCUUUCACCGGUGAAGAUAAUGACGGUAACCGGAGAAGAAGCCCCGGCUAACUUCGUGCCAGCAGCCGCCGUAAGAC